rnacentral:rRNA from 1 species
UACGUAGGGUGCGAGCGUUAAUCGGAAUGACUGGGCGUAAAGGGUGCGUAGGUGGAUUAGUAAGUCAGUGGUGAAAUCUCCGGGCUUAACCCGGAAACUGCCAUUGAUACUAUUAGUCUUGAAUACCGUGGAGGUCAGCGGAAUAUGUCAUGUAGCGGUGAAAUGCUUAGAUAUGACAUAGAACACCAAUUGCGAAGGCAGCUGGCUACACGAAUAUUGACACUCAGGCACGAAAGCGUGGGGAUCAAACAGG